rnacentral:misc_RNA from 1 species
GAUGAAGAACGUAGUGAAAUGCGAUAAGUAAUGUGAAUUGCAGAAUUCAGUGAAUCAUCGAAUCUUUGAACGCACAUUGCGCCCCCUGGUAUUCCGGGGGGCAUGCCUGUCCGAGCGUCAUUACAACCCUCAAGCUCAGCUUGGUGUUGGGCCCCGCCGCCCCGGCGGGCCCUAAAGUCAGUGGCGGUGCCGUCCGGCUCCGAGCGUAGUAAUUCUUCUCGCUCUGGAGGUCCGGUCGUGUGCUCGCCAGCAACCCCCAAUUUUUUCAGGUUGACCUCGGAUCAGGUAGGGAUACCCGCUGAACUUAAGCAUAUCAAUAAGCGGAGGA